GAAUAUUGGACAAUGGGGGAAUCCCUGAUGCAGCCAUGCCGCGUGUGUGAAGAAGGCCUUCGGGUUGUAAAGCACUUUCAGUAGGGAGGAAAGGGUAUAACCUAAUACGUUAUAUCUGUGACGUUACCUACAGAAGAAGGACCGGCUAACUCCGUGCCAGCAGCCGCGGUAAUACGGAGGGUCCGAGCGUUAAUCGGAAUUACUGGGCGUAAAGCGUGCGCAGGCGGUUUGUUAAGCGAGAUGUGAAAGCCCCGGGCUCAACCUGGGAAUUGCAUUUCGAACUGGCGAACUAGAGUCUUGUAGGGGGGGGUAGAAUUCCAGGUGUAGCGGUGAAAUGCGUAGAGAUCUGGAGGAAUACCGGUGGCGAAGGCGGCCCCCUGGACAAAGACUGACGCUCAGGCACGAAAGCGUGGGGAGCAAACAGG
rnacentral:rRNA from 1 species